CGUACAUAAAACAAAGAAAAACAGAUAAAAAUACACAUUCUUGACGAUGUCACACUUUCACGUCCAGUUUCGACGGCACGAGAUUAAAGCUUCCACCAAUGAAAUGAUAGAAUUCCCUGAAUUUUUUUUUAGCCAUUACUGUUCGCAAUUUAUCUUUCACGUCCUCUGUCUCUGCUCUGUCAGCCUUACCUUCUCUGUUCUGCUCUCCCCUCUCUCUCGCUCUCACACACAUAGGUCGAGACUCGGACUUGCCCUCGCAGUAUCACGGAUGCAACACCGGCCGUUCCUUCCUUCACGCUGACUUACUCACAUAGUUGUCACGCCGUG